rnacentral:rRNA from 1 species
AAUGGACGCAAGUCUGAGGCAGCAACGCCGCGUGGGCGAUGAAGGCCUUCGGGUUGUAAAGCCCUUUCUGGGGGACGAGAAAGGACGGUACCCCAGGAAUAAGUCACGGCUAACUACGUGCCAGCAGCCGCGGUAAUACGUAGGUGGCCAGCGUUAUCCGGAUUCACUGGGCGUAAAGCGCGUGCAGGCGGUUCUGUAAGUCGGACGUGAAAGCUCCUGGCUUAACUGGGAGAGGUCGUUCGAUACUGCGGGGCUUGAGGUCGGGAGAGGGACGUGGAAUUCCCGGUGUAGUGGUGGAAUGCGUAGAUAUCGGGAGGAACACCAGUGGCGAAGGCGGCGUCCUGGCCCGCACCUGACGCUAAGACGCGAAAGCGUGGGAAGCGAACGGGAUUAGAUACCCCGGUAGUCCACGCUGUAAACGGUGGAUACUAGGUGUUGGUGGCUAUCGUCAUCAGUGCCGUAGCUAACGCGUUAAGUAUCCCGCCUGGGGACUACGGCCGCAAGGCUA